UCUUAAUAAAGCAUGGUGUUUUUUGCACACUAUAAAGUGAUCAAACAUUUGUCUACAAAAAAAAAAAAAGUGAUCAAACAUUUCUAAUUGUAGAUUCAUAAAAGAAAAAAUAUGGCUAAAGUUAAGAUAUUUAUUUGUGCUAUGAUUAUCUAUUUUUCCCUAUUUAUUUCUAUAACAAACGGCGUUGAACCUAUGAGCUGAAAAAAGCAUGAGGAUUGUCGAGAGUUUUGGUGUAGGCCUCCGAGUAUUGCAUAUUGCAAUCUUCGAAACCUUUGUUUCUGUUUUUUUUUUUUUUUGAUAAUCAGCACCUUUGUGGCUGUGAUAUAAUGCGAUUUCCAAAGAUGCAGUAAACGUUACGUCAAAAAAUAAAAUAAUAUCUACCCAGUUGUUUUUUUAUGAUUUAUUUUGCACUUGUUAUAAAUAUUAUUAGUGGAUGAUGAUGUAUACUAUAUAUGUAUUAUUGUAAGGUAACUUUAUGUGGUAGUUUCUAGCCUUUGUGGUAUAUCUUCUUUUCCUCCCUUGGUAUAUCUUACCAUGGAUUGAGGUUUGCUAAUAAAGUUUUAAUGUUAAAAAAAAAAAAAGGUAACUUAAUUAUAUUGGUGAAUAACAUACUAUUUUGUUUCUCUUCA